rnacentral:lncRNA from 1 species
CUCGGACAAAGGGGAGGGAUAUUCUGGAAACAGUGCUCUGUUAAGAUACUGUGUGUGGGCUGGAAAUUUAGAGUGAUACCAUUAAAGGAAAGGAAACUGUGUCCCAGGGUCCCUUCCCAUCCCCAAAGUACCCUCAACAACAAAUACAUCAGCCAGGGGUCGUCACAACCUUUCCACUAGCUUUUCUAAUAAGUCAAUUCCUGAGGAGGAGAGUCCACAGUUGCUGACACUUAGAUUCCUCAUAUCUUUCGGGACUUCUGAAAACUGAUGACCUAUAGACUGAGAACAGGUUCUCUGAGUGCUGCACGGGUGAGAGAUGUGGUGAGAUAGCAGUAAACGUGGGUCUAUACACAUGCGCAUGCGUGUGUGCUCGCAGUGCACACACACAUUUGUACACGUGCACAUGCAUUUGUACACGCACACGCUCGUACAUACACACACAAACACACCAUAUAAAGAUAGGAAGAAUUCCUGAGAAGGCUUGGUUGCCUGUUGCAAGUGAGAGUACUCAGAUAUCUCGAGUCCUAUCCAUUGGCACAUCCCGUGCCCUCCUUAUCUUUCUGGAAUCAUCUCUCUCAUUCCGGUAGCCGGUGAGCUCUCUAGGACAGGAUAUAGCGGCUGCUUGUGUUAUUUGGUUGGAUGAAUGAGUGAAUAUCUGAAGAGGCUCAGUGCUCUAGCCACUCUUACUUAGCACCCAUGAUUCAGAGCAUAGAUGAAUUCCAGGAAGCCCCACCCCUCCUCCAAAAGAUGCCAACAGCCAACUGCAGCUCUGGGAGAUAAGGUGACUCAGCAAAAAACACAGAGGAAAUGAGAGGCAGUCAGGACCAGACCUUAACUUUCCCUGCUCACAGGUUUGGGUGUUCCCCUUACUGCUGGUAAGGCCUGUCUAGAGGCAGCCCUGAGAGUGCUGGUCCAGUAACUCUGUUGAGACAGUAGCAGUCCUGUCUCCUGUUGGUUCCCAGGGAUCUCACAGUGUGAGUCAACCAAGCCAGUGUCCUUACAACUUUAAAGUCUUUCACUUUGCUGCCUUCUGGUUUUGUGAAUGAACACAUACUUACAAACUCAACAGCAACCGACCUUCCAACGGAGUCAGCAAGGCAGGAAUAACUGCUUAUACCCAUCUUGUCUCUCUUUAUGAUUUUAAACUGUCAUUUGUGGGGUGCAUUUGGAAAAGCCAUGCCAGUAAGGAAAUAUGAAGUUUUCAUAAGCCAAUAAUUGUGAAAUUGCUUUAAGUAAUAAAAAUGUUUAGAU